rnacentral:tRNA from 1 species
GUGAUUUUAGUUUAAAUAAAAUAAUGAUUUGUCUAGUCAUAGAUGAUUAAUUGAUAAUCAAGUCACU